AUCACUUGAGAUCGUCCAUCAGAAGUGUUAACAUAGAUCUCUAUGCCGAUGAGGAUUUGGGCAACACACCUAUGAACGAAGAAGUGAAGGAGGAGAUUGUAGUUUACCUAUUCCAGUGAAGGGCAAGAUAGAGACUUUAAAUCAAGCAUUAGAUAUCUUUGGGAUGAAUGUGAUUGUGGAAGCAAGUUUUUUUGUUAUGACCAAGCAAAAAUAACAUCACAUAUCAAGGAUCGUGAUCUCCGAUCCAGAAAUUUUGCCAACCAGUUAGAAGCGGCUACCUUGGAACAAAUAGUUCUAAUUCCGUAUAAUACUGGGUAAAUAAAUAAGAUUAACACAUUAUUAUGUUUUUCAUUGAGGUUAAAUGUAUACUCACAUUGAAGAUGUUUAUUGUAGUUUUCAUUGGAUGUUGCAUGUCAUCAAUCUUCGAGAGAACUGUGUUUAUGUUUUGGACUCUCUUCAAAGUAAAGUUAACGAAGACAUCCAUGGAGUCAUAAAUGUGACUUAUGAUUUACUUCUUAUUUGACUUCAUUGUCUUCUAAUUCUAAUGUUUCCAAAUGUAUAGAGGAUUAAAAACAUGGCAAGCUAAGCAUGAUUUACAACAUUAUCGGUCAAAUCCGAAAUGGAAACCUAUAAAGGUAAUUUGCAUUGACACAUAAUUAUUUUCAAUGAAACAUAAGAAUAAUUUGUAUGUAAUUUAUAUACAUGCAGUGUCCUCGUCAAUUGGAUUCGGUUGGGUGUGGGUAUUAUGUCCAAAAGUAUAUACAUGAAAUCGUGCAU